rnacentral:rRNA from 1 species
AUGGAGCAACAAAUAGCAGGAGAAGAAGAGGUUUGGAAGUAUGAUUCUUCUGAUGAGGACUAUAGUUAUGAGGAAUAUUCUGAUUAAGAGGUAGUUAAAAGAAACAUCAAGUUUUCAUGGUAUAACAAUGACACUGAGAUACCACAUUUUGCAUUGACCAUGGUUUUCAGAAGCAAGAACCAGCUUUCCAAAGCUUUGAGAAGGUAUGGUCUGGUUACUAAGAGGAGUAUCAGGUUCAUGGAAUCAAAAAUGAUGGUUAGGGCGCAAUGUGGAUGGGAUGGUUGCCCUUGGCUCAUCUAUGCAGCCAAAAGAUCAAGAACAUCCAGACUCCAAGUGAUCACUUUCAAUGAUGAGCACCAAUGUGCACAGAAUAGGUGCAACAAGCUUGUGACUGCUAAGUUGAUUGCAUAGAGGUAUGAGCACUUCAUACUAGCUAAUCCUAUGUGGAAAAUAGAAAGCAUGAAAGCCACUAUAUUGCAAGACAUGUUUGCUAAUGUUUCAACCUCAAAGUACAAAUAUGCAAAGUCAACUAUGAUGGACAGAUUGAUGAGUGGUAUGAAUAAUGAGUAUACCAUAGUGUUUGAUUACCAAUUGGAGCUGCUUAGGAGCACUCCUGGAAGCAUCGUUGUUGUGUGUCUGGAUCCACCAAACAUGCACCAAAAUAUAUUCCAGAGAUUCUGUGUUUGCUUCAAUGCAAUGAAGCAAGGAUUCAAGGCUGGAUGCAGGAAAGUGAUAGGCCUUGAUGGAUGCUUCUUCAAAGGGGCAGUGAAGGGUGAGCUCUUGUUUUCCAUAGGUAGGGAUGCUAGCAAGCAGAUGUAUCCACUAGCUUGGGUUGUAGGUGAGUAG